rnacentral:rRNA from 1 species
UACGGAAGGCAGCAGUGGGGAAUAUUGCACAAUGGGCGCAAGCCUGAUGCAGCCAUGCCGCGUGUAUGAAGAAGGCCUUCGGGUUGUAAAGUACUUUCAGUCGUGAGGAAGGUGUUAAGGUUAAUAACCUUAGCAAUUGACGUUAGCGACAGAAGAAGCACCGGCUAACUCCGUGCCAGCAGCCGCGGUAAUACGGAGGGUGCGAGCGUUAAUCGGAAUUACUGGGCGUAAAGGGCACGCAGGCGGUUAAUUAAGUUGGAUGUGAAAUCCCGGGCUUAACCUGGGAAUGGCAUUCAAGACUGGUUAGCUAGAGUCUUGUAGAGGGGGUAGAAUUCCAUGUGUAGCGGUGAAAUGCGUAGAGAUGUGGAGGAAUACCGGUGGCGAAGGCGGCCCCUGGGACAAAGACUGACGCUCAUGUGCGAAAGCGUGGGGAGCAAACAGGGAUUAGAUACC